rnacentral:rRNA from 1 species
UACGGAGGAUGCAAGCGUUAUCCGGAAUGAUUGGGCGUAAAGCGUCCGCAGGUGGCUAUGUAAGUCUGCUGUUAAAGAGUGAGGCUCAACCUCAUAAGAGCAGUGGAAACUACAUAGCUAGAGUGCGUUCGGGGCAGAGGGAAUUCCUGGUGUAGCGGUGAAAUGCGUAGAUAUCAGGAAGAACACCGGUGGCGAAAGCGCUCUGCUGGACUGCAACUGACACUCAGGGACGAAAGCUAGGGGAGCGAAUGGG